GGCGGCGUGCUUAACACAUGCAAGUCGAGCGGUAAGGCCCCUUCGGGGGUACACGAGCGGCGAACGGGUGAGUAACACGUGAGCAACCUACCCUCAACUUUGGGAUAAGCCUCGGAAACGGGGUCUAAUACCGAAUAUCACUCCUUGUUUCAUGGCGGGGGGUUGAAAGUUCUGGCGGUUGGGGAUGGGCUCGCGGCCUAUCAGCUUGUUGGUGGGGUAAUGGCCUACCAAGGCGUCGACGGGUAGCCGGCCUGAGAGGGCGACCGGCCACACUGGGACUGAGACACGGCCCAGACUCCUACGGGAGGCAGCAGUGGGGAAUAUUGCGCAAUGGACGAAAGUCUGACGCAGCAACGCCGCGUGAGGGAUGACGGCCUUCGGGUUGUAAACCUCUUUCAGCAGGGACGAAGCGAGAGUGACGGUACCUGCAGAAGAAGGACCGGCCAACUACGUGCCAGCAGCCGCGGUAAUACGUAGGGUCCGAGCGUUGUCCGGAAUUAUUGGGCGUAAAGGGCUCGUAGGCGGUUCGUCACGUCGGGAGUGAAAACUCGGGGCUUAACCCCGAGCCUGCUUUCGAUACGGGCAGACUAGAGGUAGGCAGGGGAGAGCGGAACUCCUGGUGUAGCGGUGGAAUGCGCAGAUAUCAGGAAGAACACCGGUGGCGAAGGCGGCUCUCUGGGCCUUACCUGACGCUGAGGAGCGAAAGCGUGGGUAGCGAACAGGAUUAGAUACCCUGGUAGUCCACGCCGUAAACGUUGGGCGCUAGGUGUGGGGGACAUUCCACGUCCUCCGUGCCGCAGCUAACGCAUUAAGCGCCCCGCCUGGGGAGUACGGCCGC
rnacentral:rRNA from 1 species